rnacentral:rRNA from 1 species
UACAGGGGGGUGCAAACGUUGCUCGGAAUCAUUGGGCGUAAAGCGCGUGUAGGCGGUUCGGUAAGUCCGCUGUGAAAGUCGGGGGGCUCAACCCUCGGAUGCCGGUGGAUACUGUCGGACUAGAGUACGGAAGAGGCGAGUGGAAUUCCUGGUGUAGCGGUGAAAUGCGCAGAUAUCAGGAGGAACACCGAUUGUCGAAGGCAGCUCGCUGGGACGUUACUGACGCUGAGACGCGAAAGCGUGGGGAGCAAACAGG